GAAGCUUAACUGACAGUAGCAGGGGGGGGUGCUGAUGAUAGAGUCUCCAUUCUGAAUGCAUUAAAUAUGAUCUUCACUGUCUUCAUCGUUUGUUUCCUUCACGUCCCAGGGAACAAGGGCGCCUUUGACACCAAACGUAUUGUCCAAACGCCUCUUUCCAUCAUUAAGAGAGCUGGUGAAUCUGUGGACAGUGAGAUCGACUGCUCACACGACACAGACAACUUUGAAAACAUUCUCUGGUACAAGCAAGAGCAACACAAAGCUCCAAAGUACCUGGGACAUCUCAAUCUAAACUUCCCGUACACCGAGGCUGGCGUGCGAGGAAAAAUCAGCCUUAAAGGAGAUGGACGUAAACAUUCCAACCUCACUGUUUCCAAUCUUUCAUUAAGCGACAGUGGUGUGUAUUUCUGUGCAGCCAGACGACACAGUGCUGCAGAGUCUACCCAAGUCCACACAAAAACCUCAGAGUCAACCCCAGACAAACAGGAUGUUCAGGCAGCUGAACACCUGCAGUCAGGCCUACAGCUAAACUGAAGAUCGUAUCAACUGAUGUGUCUUUCUGACCUUUUCUGGGGUCAUCACGUCACCACAGUUGAACAUCAUGUUGUCAUAACAGUCUUUGGCUGUGCUGAACAUAAUGUCUGAGUUGAUAAAAGCCAGACUUGGAUUUACUCACUAGUUUUUAUACUUCUACUUGAGUACUACAGGCAAAGCCUUCCAUUUUUUAAGAUCAACACAGAAAAUAUCUGGACAUAAAAUCUGUCCUCCCCAGCCUGAUCUGUACCGCACCAAUUAACAAGUCGUAACCCCCCAUGAUGUCAACCAUUGGUUUGUGAAAUACCUUCUUGAAACCACCAUCUUUAUUUUUCCCUUUUGAAACCAGAAGCAGCCACACAGGAGCAAGACUUAGAGCCAACACCUGCCAUUGAAUGAGAGUUGCUGUUAAUCACAUGGUUUCCAGGCCCCAUUGCAUACAGUGCUUUUUCAUCUAUUUGACUCUAAAUGGGACCAUCAUGCUAUAAUGAGGAAGACUUGGAACCUGCGAUUGAGACUGUAAACUCCUUAGGAAAAUGGUCUAUGCCAGUUUAACCACCAUGAAAACACAGACAGAUUUACAUGUGGUGACACUCCCACCUUCAACUCUUCAUGACGCUGUAACAUACGAGGACUCAAACACUUUCUGACUGAC